rnacentral:rRNA from 1 species
CCCUGAUGUGGGGGAUAACCGUUGGAAACGAUGGCUAAUACCGCAUAAUAGCUUCGGCUCAAAGAGGGGGACCUUCGGGCCUCUCGCGUCAGGAUAUGCCCAGGUGGGAUUAGCUAGUUGGUGAGGUAAUGGCUCACCAAGGCGACGAUCCCUAGCUGGUCUGAGAGGAUGAUCAGCCACACUGGAACUGAGACACGGUCCAGACUCCUACGGGAGGCAGCAGUGGGGAAUAUUGCACAAUGGGCGCAAGCCUGAUGCAGCCAUGCCGCGUGUAUGAAGAAGGCCUUCGGGUUGUAAAGUACUUUCAGCAGUGAGGAAGGUGGUGUCGUUAAUAGCGGCAUCAUUUGACGUUAGCUGCAGAAGAAGCACCGGCUAACUCCGUGCCAGCAGCCGCGGUAAUACGGAGGGUGCGAGCGUUAAUCGGAAUUACUGGGCGUAAAGCGCAUGCAGGUGGUUUGUUAAGUCAGAUGUGAAAGCCCGGGGCUCAACCUCGGAAUUGCAUUUGAAACUGGCAGACUAGAGUACUGUAGAGGGGGGUAGAAUUUCAGGUGUAGCGGUGAAAUGCGUAGAGAUCUGAAGGAAUACCG